rnacentral:rRNA from 1 species
CCUACGGGUGGCAGCAGUGAGGAAUAUUGGUCAAUGGGCGGAAGCCUGAACCAGCCAAGUCGCGUGAGGGAUUAAGGCCCUGCGGGUCGUAAACCUCUUUUGCCGGGGAGCAGAGGUCCGGACGUGUCCGGGCCGGGAGAGUACCCGGAGAAAAAGCAUCGGCUAACUCCGUGCCAGGCGCCGCGGUAAUACGGAGGAUGCGAGCGUUAUCCGGUUCUAUUGGGUUUGAAGGGUGCGUAGGCGGGCAUUUAAGCCGGCGGUCAAAUGUCGGGGCUCAACCCCGACCUGCCGUCGGAACUGGGUGCCUUGAGUGGGCGAGAAGUAUGCGGAAUGCGAGGUGUAGCGGUGAAAUGCAUAGAUAUCACGCAGAACCCCGAUUGCGAAGGCAGCAUACCGGCGCCCUACUGACGCUGAGGCACGAAAGUGCGGGUAUCGAACAGGAUUAGAUACCCCAGUAGUC